UACGUAGGGUGCGAGCGUUGUCCGGAAUUAUUGGGCGUAAAGAGCUUGUAGGUGGUUUGUCGCGUCUGCUGUGAAAAUCCGAGGCUCAACCUCGGACUUGCAGUGGGUACGGGCAGACUAGAGUGUGGUAGGGGAGACUGGAAUUCCUGGUGUAGCGGGUGGAAUGCGCAGAUAUCAGGAGGAACACCGAUGGCGAAGGCAGG
rnacentral:rRNA from 1 species